ACAUAACAUUACAGGUGCCACAAAAAUGGCGAGCAGUAUCGCAGCUAUCCAGCUGUACAGUUUUGAGUCAGAUUCCAGCUUAGGCGAGGAAAGCAAAGAUGGAUCUAUUUAAGCGGAUGCAUCAGAAUGGAGCAGAACAGGGAGCUUGUUACAGCGACAUUCUUUUUUCUGACAUUUUUUCCUCUGCAUCUGCUUCACCAUAAUUAGAAUAAAAAUGAUCAUAAAUGCUAAUUUUUUGCCUAAUUUAAUUUAUAUAUGUAACCUCUUGGGUUUAUUUAUUACAAAUAAAACGUGUAUACAUUUUCAUUUCCGGCAGUCUUUCCUAUGUUUUAUUUACUCGCUAAGUUAAAAUUGUCAAAAAUAGUUUAAUAUGAAAUAUUGAUGGGACCAGAUCAACGUGAAGUGUUUCUUUGAAUGUGAUUGGUUGUUCGUGGGGUUUCAGUUAUAACCCAGCACGAGCCCAACGGGGCGUGAAAAACAGGUUUUCACCGAAGGAAUACUAAUUAUUGACUACAUAACUGUAUUUUUUUAAUAAUUUAUUUUUGCUUAAGAGAUUUGAUUUUUUUAACUCCUGAUGGAUAGAACUUUUUUUUUUCCUUCUCUCUUUUUGUUUUCUUGGUGCACUGGACUGAACCGUAAAAGGGGUUUUCUUUCUUUCGGUUAUUUUUCUUUCAAAUUCUAACUUUGGUCCAACGUUACUUUACAGUAGCCAGUCGCUCACUUUUACUAUAUGUCAUGGUCCUCCUGCGCUCCUCCUCCACAUCCUAAUUGGACCCAGCUGUCGGCACUCAUCACCUCCACUCCAGCCUAUUUAAGAGGAGCCCUCCCCAGCAUUCUUCGCCAGUUCGUUGCCUUACCCGGUCUUUUCCUCCCAUGUGCCGACCUGGGUCCUGCCUCGCCUAAGCAUCUCGUCUUGGACCACGCCGAUCCUCACCACUCCACGCACCGGCUGCCGGACUCACCUGGUUACUCCACCUGGCCGCUCCAGUCCGCAGCAAGUCUUCGUUCCCAAGCCUCUACCUUCGAUCCUGGUUCCGGACACUACGCCAUUAUCCCCACGGACAAUAAAACUUUAUUUAAACCUC